GCCGGGUGUGGUGGCGCACACUUGUAAUCCCAGCUACUGGGGAGGCUGAGGCAUGAGAAUCACUUGAACCCAGGAGGUGGAAGCUGCAGUGAGCCGAGAUCCUGCCACUGCACUCUAGCCUGGGCUACAGAGUGAGAUUCCGUCUCAA
rfam:Gorilla gorilla gorilla genomic chromosome, chr3, whole genome shotgun sequence